rnacentral:rRNA from 1 species
UUUAAGUAAAAAUUCUUAAAUUUAUAAGUGGGACGAGAAGACCCUAUAGAGUUUAAACAAUUUCUUAUUAUUAAAUUAAAGAAUUUAUAUUUAUAUAAUAAGAAAUUUAUUUUAUUGGGGUGAUUUUAAAAAUUAUAUAACUUUUAAUUAAUAUUUCAUUAAUGAAUGAUUAAUUGAUCCAAAAAUUAUUGAUUGAAAGAUUAAAUUACCUUAGGGAUAACAGCGUAAUUAAUUUGGAGAGUUCAAAUCGAUAAAUUAGUUUGCGACCUCGAUGUUGGAUUAAGAAAACAUUUUGGAGCAGUAUUUAAAAU